AACAACCGAGUGGUUUUUAACCUAUAUUAGAGCAGCCCAAACCAUCUCUGAAGCAGUAACUACAGAAGUAUCCCGCUCACUCUUCAUCCUGCCUUUGACGGCAGUUGUGUUCCUCUUUUUUGCUUUCUCAUCUUAACAGCCAUCCCAGCGGCUCAGUUAGGAAUGACUGCUGGCACAAGAAAGGCUCACUGCUGAUGACUGAAACACAGAUGAGAAAACUGAAGAUCUGCAAGACAAAAGAUUGGCUGAAGGAGAUCUGAGAAACGCCACAUUUACAUCAGGAAGCUCACGUCAACCAGGGUGGGCUUGCAGUUCAGUGCAUCCAGGGCUCAUGAGCCCCACCUAAUGCUCGGCAGCAGCAGCAGCAAUGACAGCGCAUCUAGACUUCUGCAGCAGUUUCAGAGGAAGGAACAGAGAACCCUGGAAGCCUUCAAAACCAGAACUAUGACAUGGAGCCUCAGGAAAAGCCCACAUAAAACACUGCCUCACCUUCGGAAAGUACGACAGCAAAGUAAAACGUGCCAGCCUCAUUUUAUCACAAAAAAAUAAGAGCUGAGGGGAUAAGGAAAUAAGUUCGGGGCUUUUUUUCCAACUAUAAAAAUAACACACGCUCAAUAUAAAAUUUCAAAAAAGAUGAGAAAAGAAAAAGAUAAAUAUCAUCUAUAAUGCCAGCACCCAGAGAUGCCAGCCCACUGAUAUUCUGGUCUAGAAAUACAUGACUAGCUAUUUAAACAUAUAGAUGAGAUGAGAUCAUACUGUAGAGUACAAACUGUUUUGCAAUAUGUUCUUUUCAUACAAAUUCUAAUGUGGACAUUCAUAUUAAUAAACAGCACUAUACCAUCCUUUUUAAUAGCCAUGUAACAUUCUAUCAUGUAACAUUUCAUAAUUUUCUUAAACAAUUCAUUCGAGAUGGUGAUUUUCUCACUGCUGUAAACCAUGUUGUAAACACAUCUUCUCACAUUCAUUAACGCACACUUAACUGAUUAUUAGGAUAAAUUAUUAAAAGUGGAACUACUGGAUUCUAGGGUGUUGAAGAAUGCUACGAGAGUGCUUUUUUUUUUUCUUUUUCAAAAAGAGGCACAAUAAAUGUUUCUCACACUUGAAAUGCAGGUGAGGUGGCUAUUUUC